GACGGAGGGGGCUAGCGUUGUUCGGAAUUACUGGGUGUAAAGGACGCGUAGGCAGUUUAUCAAGUUGGGCGUGAAAGCCCCGGGCUUAACCUGGGAAUUGCGUUUGAUACUGGUAGACUAGAGGACGGGAGAGGAAAGUGGAAUUCCUAGUGUAGAAGUGAAAUUCGUAGAUAUUAGGAGGAACACCAGAGGCGAAGGCGACUUUCUGGACCGAUUCUGACGCUGAGGCGCGAAAGCGUGGGGAGCAAACACG
rnacentral:rRNA from 1 species